UAUACUCAGUAAAAGCUGGUGUAUUGAGUGCUGUGCUGGCUACCCAAGUGCCUACCUCUUGUCGAAAUCUGCCGUCUCGUUUUGAAGAAACUGAAACUGAAAGAAAAAGACGUACCACUUCACAACAGCUAACUACAAUUAGCGUCAAUUUCUCCGACAGUCAUGUGUGAUGAGGAUUUCUCCUUAAUUACAGACAGCCAGGGAUCACAAAACACCUUGGAUGGAAUCCUAAAUGCUAUCAGCAAAUGCAAGGUAUAUUUUACCAAAGAAAGGAUAUUAAUUGGGAAAGCUCAAAAAAUUGUCUGACUCCAGUCACCCAAGUCAUCCAAGUCAUAGACAUUUCUCUCUGCUAAAACGGCAAGGGUACCCAAGCGCUAAGUCUAGGACCAAAAGGCUCCUUAACAGCUUCUACCCCCAAGCCAGAAUACAAUGAAAUGGCCACCAGGACUAUUUACAUUUGUUUUUAACACUGCUGCUACUCGCUGUUUAUCUAUGCAUAGUCACUUUACCCCUACCUACAUGUACAAAUUUCCUCGACUAACCUGUACACCUGCACAUUGACCCGGUACCCCCU